UAUCUGAGCAAUAACACAGCCAGCUGCCUUCAAAGGGAAGGGUGGGUCAGCGCCUAUCUCAGCAAGGAGAAAGGGGUGGGGAAAAGGCACACUGACAAAUAUGGCCUAUUUUUUAAUGAUUGCCACUCAGUUCCUGUUAGAAAGGACAAAAGGGCUGAACGUGAUUCUCUGGGUAUUUUACUGUGGAAUUAAGCUGUUGACGGAUGAAGGUAGCAACAGCCAGCACCGCUAAUGCAACCACCUCCUCUUUCACCAGUAGUUCCCCCCUGUAAUGGUUGUGUACUCACAGUACGGCCUCUCGAACAACUUCUUCUGUCUGAAUCAUCACAAAUUUUCUUUGGGGCACGGCAGAUGAGAAAAAGGAGUUGGUGACUCAUGCCUAUAAGCUCUUGAGUUCCUUUGGAGUGGGAACUUUCCAUGCCGCUCCAGAAGACCUGGCAGUGGUUUUGUGAUAGCUUGUCCAAAUUUUUGACACACCGCUUGGGUCGGUCCUCGUUUGGCUUCCAGAAGCAGACCAUCAUAGUCUGGUGGAGUUCUGUCUCCCAGGGAGGAUACUGAUUUUCCCUAGAAGCCCAUCAGCUGCAGCAUCCGUACAGCUGCUAAAACCUGCCUUGAUCAUUCGUCAGCAUGACUGAUACAAUUCUGAAUGCUGCCUGGAUGUUGAAAAGAACAUAAUAUGUAGUAAAGGACAGGGAAGUCCUAUGUUUCCAAAGAGUCAUUUUGCAAUUGAACUCACACAAAUUUCAUUAAUGGAACAGAGCGUUAUCUUCAGUGAAACAAAAUGCUGUAUUUUAUGUCAAAUUCCAGUAUCUCACUGAUCUAACAUUUCUGCACAGAACUGUAGUAUCAUAGAAUCAUUAAGGUUGGAAAAAAACAUGAAGAUCAUCUAGUCAAACUGUCAACCCUUCACCACUAUGCCCACUGACCACGUCCCUGUUUCACUCAUGCAUGCAUUGAGAUUUGUACUUAAAAAAAUUACAGCCUAUCUCAGGGUUGGCGCCAAGUCUGCUGUGAGACAUGGUCAUAGGAGUAACAUAAGAAACAAAAGUGGUACAGAAUGGUACAUUUUGAUUAAAAUGCCAUCACGUAUAGCUAAGGUUUAAAAACAAAUCUCAGAGCUUCUGAGGUGUGUCGUCUGCCUGGUACCAACUUUAUUAUUGUCAUAAAAAGUAGUUCCUAGGAAACAAAAGAAGACAGAAAGUAGUGGCAGAUUACAAGCUGCAAAAGCAACAGUGAUUUUUUCUGAGGCAAAAAUAACAGGUGAGCUAUUCAUUUUGAAAAUUCCUUCAGAUUUCUUGCCAAAGGUAGGUUAUAUACGGUGACAGUGGCAUUUUGGUACCUUCCCACCGUGCCUGCUCAAGCCUCCCAUUCCUUGUAGCUAUGUGAUCCACAUGGAAAUCCACAUGGGCUUAGUUUUCCUGUACAUGAUGCGCUGUUACAACUUUCCCAUGUACACAGUGAAUUUGAAAAACUGUUGCUCUGAACAGGUGCCCCUAAAUCCCAAUUUUGCCCUUUCUUGCUCAGAUAUCACCAUCUACACGAGGCUGAGGGCAGCAGAAGAGCAGAUCUCUUGGCUUUAUCUGUCUUCUCCUACCCUGUAAAAUACAAACAGGGCAGGCUGUCUGCCCAGGGAUGCUGGAAGCACCGAACAGCAGUUGGGAGCAUGUCCCAGCAAGCUCCAGCUUGCUCACAGGUUGCUAAGUUACUUAAAUCCAUUGCAUAGAACAGAACCGUAUUGCCACAAAACAUCAGAACCUGACUUAGUUUUUAGUAACUCAUUAAAAUGACUCUACGAUUCUUUUGAUGUUCCGUACUAGUCUGGUCACAUUCCUUUCUGUUUUAUAGCACGGUAAUAACAACAUUCUUGUAAACAGUCAUAUAAACUCUAACCUUCAUAUUGCUCUCUUCAGAUCAUCUGAAAGCGUUUUCACAUUGAGAUUUGGCUUUCUUCCCCCCAUAAAGCAUAUCCCACCCUAAUAACCCAGGCCAUCAAGGGAGCAGGGGGAGAGAAUAAGGAUGCAAAAGUUGAUUAGUGGGUUACUUGUUUAGGGCAGUCAUACCAUCCUGUAGUAGCAGAAGUGUUUUGCAAACAUCACCUUUAUAAAUCCAUUAUUUAGAGCUUCCAGGGCUCCCAUUCCCUUCAGAAGUAACUCUCCUGUAGACACAGACUCCAGUUGUUUGGCAAUUAGCAGCCUAUAUUCUCUUCAUUGGUAACAACACACCGCCAUCCCUUACUUGAUCUACAGGGGAAAUAUAUGCCAGGUGCUUGAGCUAUCUGUUAUGUUGUUGGUAGUGAAGAAUUACAGAAGUAGAGUUGGCUUCAGAGGCAAAAAAAAUAUAGACACACUGGUUCAGCAAUGCUGUUGUUGCUCAGUGAUAGCACUGGGUAAAAGCAAGACAACUGGCUUUGGCUGCAGCAAUGUGCGCUGGAGGUGUGGCGGGAGGACAGGCAGCAGUUUCCUGAUGUCUCUGGUCAAAGGCUUGGCACUUAAGCAUUUACUCAAACAAAAGGGCCAAGGAUAAGGGACUGCACCCUUCGCAAACAACACGGCAUAUGGACAUGCACUCACAUGCAAAGAAUUUACAUCGGCUGAGCAGAUUUCCAGGCAGUCGGUUUAAGAUGAUGUAAACCCACAGAAAUGCAAGAUGAUUUGAACUGCGCCACAUCCAUGACAGUUGGUCGGCAGAGAUAUUAGCCAAUGAUGGUAGAAGAUACUUACGUGAAAAUUUGCAGCUAAUACUGUACUCCAAAUACUAUGAUCAUCAGACGAACAGAAAGGAUAAGAAGAUCAUUUUGAGAAGUUUUCAAGGAGACAACUAGAAAAUGUUGAUUUCAAAGUUAUAGUGUAAUUCGAGUCAAUGUAUGAUGGAGCAAUGUGGAAAUUAUCCCAGCUUGACGAGAUGCAAGACCUUACAAGUAACUCUACAAAAAUUAGAAUUAUUGGACGAGAAAAGCACCUCAAUGAUACAUUGCACUUCAGUGGCUUCAAGGGUCCCUGGAUGAAGCCAUUUAGCACUUGGCAGGUCAAGUCAUAGCACAUCCUGAAGCUGGUUCUGCUCUGACAGCAUGCCUGCACGCCAUGCAAUGGCCUUGGUGGAGAAACAGUGCUGUGUCAGAAGGAGCUGUUGAUUCAUCAUGAUUAAAAAAUGAUCUUCAGAAUUCUUGGAAAAUGGAUGAAAUAUCCAUUAUAGAUUUUAUGAGUACUGUCUUUAACAUGAAAGCUUUUUAAAUUGACCAUGAUUCAUACUAAUAAAUGAAUAUACUUUAAAAAAAAUAGAAUCUAGAAUACAGGACUGCAGAGAACAACUCAAAACCUACAGUGACUUUUUGAGUUACUCUGUGGUGAAGAAGUAAGUAGAGAAAGACAAGUUGAUGAAUUAGGCCAAAUACUUUGCACCUUUAACAUCUACUGAAAUGGAUGGGGGCUGAAGAUUCAUACAGCAUCUUGCACAUCAAGGCUUUGUUACCACUAUUAGGUCCUUUCCCAUUAUGAAAACUACCUACGAGACCAUCCUUGAUGUCUGAUGUGCCUUGAUGGGCAGAACUGGAAGAGGGACAGAACUGUGCUUCUGACUCCUGUUUACUCCAUACUGCAUGAUUGUUACGUUCAUGAACCUGGUUUGGCAAUCACUGUAAAGGAGGAAAUAGUAAUCAUGUAAUUUCUUCAUAUACUGGAAAAAAAUACAAGAAAUAAGGCUGAGCUGUUUUUAAACAACCAAAGAACUAUUUGGAAAAUAAUUACAAAGCAAUAAAUGGGCAUACGUGAGGCAUAUAUAUCAAGACAGUGAAAGACAGGAAGUAGGAAAUGACAUUUUUCCUGGCCUAAUGUAUGAUAAUAAUCACAAGAAAUUGCAAUUUAGAGAAAACACAUUUCUUUUUGCUCCUAUCUGUAUUUUGGUAAAUUACUGUUCUCUGUUGUGACAGAAAAUUAAUUGCUACUGUGUCUGUUGAUUGCUUCUUAAUGACAUUGUAAUACACAGCUUUUUGGUUCAAUGUUAUUCUCAAUUCAAAUAUCUUUGUAAAUAUCAUAUACGGACUAUCUUGUAAGUAUGAUAUGAUUCAAGUUAUGCUUGUAAAACCUCCACUUAAAAUGAAUCUCCAUGUGACAGGUAAUUGGCUGCGGGCCUUUUUUUUGUUAUUGAUUUAACUUAAUGCCAAUGUACACAGGUGUGUUGGCGGGUUGUUCAAGCUUCCAAGGCACCCACAUUUGGCAGGACAAUUAAUUGUUGCAUAAUAAGAUUAUUUUCCCCCUUCAGUCCUGAAUCUUUUCAAAAGUUGUAUUUUAAACCUUUGUAGGUAUGUAUGUGGGUGAGAGAAAAAUACCCAACAAUGUUACCAUGAGGCAUGUUUCGAUUUAUUGUUUGAGGUGCUCAAGGAAACAGCAACAUAUAGAUAAGAUAUCUGCAAAUAUAUAUUUGCCAACUGAAGUGGAAAAAAAGAACAAAAAGCUUUAUAUAAUCAGGCUUUUACAUGCUAUAUAAAAUUCUAUAUUGCUAUCAGACAAAAUUGCUUAUUUUAGACAGAAAUACUACACUGAAAAUAUUAGCUGUCCGGUCUGCUUUACAUGUAGAUAGGAGAUACAAUUUGCCCUUGGACACAGAAAUAUCUGCAUCACAGACGCCCAGCGAAGGACUCAUUUGAAUACUUUGAGCAAAAUCCUGGCUCUGUUGAAGUUGAUGGGAAUUUUGCCAUUAACUUUGGUUGGACUUCAGUUUGCUUCUCCAGUGUGUAGUAAGGUAUGCAUCCCUGAGGAGUACACAGGGUAAUCUGGAGAAAGUGAACAACGCCACAGGAGUAACAGCUGGCCCAAAUUCUAGGGAGAGCAGUGACCUUAGAGGAAAAGAAGAGGCAGCACUGCUGUGGGAAUGCAUUGUAUGGAGAGGUGGGAGGAGAUUUCAUGAAAGGAUGUACAAGAUUGUUCCAAGCAUAGCAGGUAGCAUGACUGAACGUGUAAAAUCAAGAGCUGAAGAAAACACUUCUACUUUCACAAGCCCUAAGAAAUGAAUGAAGAAUGAAAAGUGUUGUGUCCAAACUUUGGAAGAGCUGGUUCUGUGAAAAGCUGUGUGAUGGCUCUUCUUUUACCCAGGUGUUUAUCUUGGGCUUGGUUCAAAAGCAAGGAUUUGUUUUGCCUUCCAGAUUUAUCCACUAAAUUGUGUUUCAUGGGGUCAUGCAAUCAGCUGUCCUCUCAUAAGAAAAAGGCCACAGCUGAGGAAACCAGGCCAGUUCAGGACUGCAGAGCCUUUGCCUGAGUGACUCUGAGAAGCUGCAUUGCACCUGAGUGGAAAAUCACUCUCCCAGGCCAAGGGAUGAUUUUUUAUCCUGGUGCUUUGUUUUCUAAAAAACUAUCCUGUCAAGCUGUGACUUAGGUUAAAAGUCAUUGGCACCACAGACAAGAAGUUGUCUGCUUCCAUAUAGAAGAGCAGAUGAUACACAUUCUGUAAAAAUCCAUAUAAAAUAUUUAUCAAAAUCUCAUUGCCCUGGAUGCCUACCAGAGACAAUCUGAAAAUUAAAUAAUUGCUGUUUAACUUUCUCUUUAGACACCCAAACACUUUAUUCUGCAGUAUAUGGCAAUGGAGUAAAACAUACCAAAAUAAAACUUUGUUGACAUAGAGCUUUGUUUUAAUUUAAAGGGCUCUCAGAAGUCCAGACUGCUCAGAAAUAAUCCCAUUUUUUCUUGGCUGACUGCAACAGCUGACAGACACUGAUACAGAAGAUGAGAUGCAUGUAUGUGUGAAAGAUGGUAAUGGUAAUGGUUUGCUCUCCACCAGCAGAAAUUAAAGCCCAGUCAGUAUUUUCAGAUUGCUUAUUAACCCUGUUAGAUUGGUUUGGGAGAAGAACCAUCCCACAUGGAAAAUGCUCCCAGCUGCUGUGAGCACAGUGCAGUAGAAGCAGGUACUGCCAUGUGUGCUACUGCAGACAGUGGUAAGCCCCCUCCCUUCCCCUAUGCUUAAAAACAAAACAAGACAAAACAAAACUCAGUUUCUUCGGUGUACACAAGAGAAUGUUUGGCAUUUGCUACUACUGAGCAGCAUUCUUGCCGUGUUUUGCUAUCUGUCAAAUGGCAUGCUCAUCCUCUGCCAAGAAAAAUACUUGUUUCCAAUACUAAUCACGCUCCCUGACUACCCUCUAGUGUAUAUUCUUCCUGGACUGCUAUCUGUCCAUGCAACAUUUGAAAGAUAUUAAAAUGAUUAUGAUGAAAUCUCUUGCUUACUGUGCUGGCAAGAGCUGGGAUAUGCUCCAGAGUCAAUGCCUGUAGUUCCCAGGGAGAAGGCAGUGCCUAAAGUUGCUUCUUACUGACUGCCUCCAUCCAUCCACAUGUAGGCAGGACAUUGUCGAGCUCUGUGUGGAGCCACAGACAGGCUCUGCUCUGGUGUAAUGUUGUUAAGGUAUGAGUUGCUGGAGAAAUGAUGAAUAAAGAGCAGUUGGUAGGUAGAUCCCAGAGCCACAAGUGAUUGUACUUAUAAAAGGAGAAGAUUGUUGUGAAAUGUGUAAUGAUACUUGAAAGGCAGUAGCUGGCAAGUCAGCAUGAAUGGUUUUCUAUUUUGCUCUUCAUUUGGUGAGAUGGAAUAAGGGUAUCCACACUGGCCCCAACUCCUCAGACUGGGGAUGAUACAACUACAAGGUGCAUCCCUACAUGGUCAGAUCAUUUUGGUAUCUCCUAAUGCUAACACCGAGACUUUCGGCCUUUGAAAUUCCUGGAAGUCUUAUGAGGAGUGACUGAGGGAACUGGGAUUGUUCAGUCUGGAGAAGGCUCAGGGGAGACCUUAUUGGUCUCUACAACUGCAUGAAAGGAGGUUGUAGUGAGGUGGGUGUCGGCCUCUUCUCCUAGGUAACAGCAGUUAGGAUGAGAGGUGAUGGCCUUAAGUUGUACCAAGGGAGGUUCAGAUUGAAUGUUAGGAAAAAAUUAUUCUCAGGAAGAGUAGUAACACAUAGGAACAGGCUGCCUAGGGAGGUGGUGGAGUCACUGUCCCUGGAAGAGUUCAGGCACUGAGGGGUAUGAUUUAGUGGGCAUGCUGGGGAUGAGUCGACAGUUGGAGCAGAUGAUCUUGGUCUCUUCCAACCUUAAUGAAUCUAUGAUUCUAGGAUAAUGAUUCUAUGAAGGAUUAGCCAGUUGUUCCUCCACCUAAGACAUAACUUUUUACUUCCCCCCCCCCCCAAAAAAAAAAAAAAGUUUUUUGAUCGACAUAUUCAUAUGUCCAUUUGGCAAUUAAAUGUUCUGUUUUUAUCCUCCACAAUGUAAGAGCUGCAUCUCUUUCAGGAAUCUAAAUCUGAUUUGUGUCCCACCUUACCAACAGACUAAUUAUGACUUUAGCAACAAGUGCCCUGAGACACCUCUGCAAACUAUUGAUGCUCAGAGUUGAUCAAGGAGAAGCUAGAAGCAUCUCCACAUAUUCCUGUUGUGCGUUGCAAGCCACAGCUCAACCACCACCAUUAUGGCAAACUUCAUUUGUUUUUGCAGACAUCAGGGUGGAAUUUGUGUCAUUUCUCUUUCAGCAUCUACAGAAUAGAUAUCUACAGCUGUGCUAAUCACUCUGGGCUCUCCUUAUAGGCAAGGAAGAGAAAUAAGUGUUUUUAGGGUGCAGUUUUCCUGACCUACUGUAUACAUUUACUUAAGGAGGACGAAUCACACUCAAGAUUCCUAUGCAUAGCCUGUCUAUGUCCUCACUGACUGUACUGAUAAUCUGGGAUGAUUAGCUUAACUGCGUACCAUACGCAUGUUUAUUUACCUCUGCUUAAUUACAUAAGUGAUAUCCACUGCCCAUUACAGAGCAGGCUUUGAAUGUAGAUGAUGUAGGCAAUUUCUGCAAGUAUUAUAGCAGACUGAAGCAAGCAGUGGUGCAUCCUCUUUCCAUGAAAUGGAAGAACUGUCUUUGUUGAGAGGAGGAUACUCUAAUUCCUUCUGUUUCUCCAUGGAACAGGACCUGACUCUUCUGGAAGAAGCAAAUAGGAGACAUUGACGUUGGCAGCAGUGUGAACUGUAGGUGGAGGAGUUAAUUGAGAGGUAGUUUAGGGACAUGGCAGGUUGCACUGGCUCCCAAAUGAUUAGAGAUGGUGGGGGAUCUGGUUGGGGAUUUGCUUAAGGAUCCCACCCAACUCUGCUCCAGAGGCAUUAAACAUCCCUGUGCUACCUAAUUCCAUUCCUUCUUUGUCUCAUGGAGUGUCCUGAAACCUCCUCAUAGCCCUCACAUUCACCUCCCCUCUCUCUCUCUCCAAAACCCAAUUUCCUCUCCCCAUCCUCCAAAGUGCCCUCAACUGGUCUCUUCUAGCCUCCUUUCUUGAAAGCUCUUCUCCAUCUCCUUCAAACUGUGAGGGGUCUUCAGAUCAAAGAGCAUUAGAGGGUGUAUGGUGGCAUGCAGUUUCCUAUGUUAGCUUGUGUUUUCAUAGAAUGGCUUGGGUUGGAAGGGAUCUCAAGGAUUAUCAAGCUCCAACCCCCCUGCCACAGGCAGGGCUGCCAACCUCCACAUUUAAUACUAGACCAGGCUGUCCAAGGCCCCAUCCAACCUGGCCUUGAACACCUCCAGGGUCAGGGCAUAGACAGCCCCUCUGGGCAGCCUGUUCCAGCACCUCACCACUCUCACAGUAAGGAACUUUCCUCUUAUAUCCAACCUAAAUCUUCCCUCCUUCAACUUAAAAUCAGUUCCCCUUGUCCUGCCAUUAUCUACCCUUUCUAAGAGCUGUUUUCUCUCUCCUGUGCUUGUGUUUUAUAUUUUUCAAAGUACAUUUUUCAAAAUUUGAAUGAUGCUCACUUAAGGGAACACUUAAUAAUUUUGUUUACAGUUAGAAAUCUUAAUUAAUAAGAAAUAGCCAUAAGAAUGGCCCAGGAACUUCAAGAGAACACAUAAAAUUUCCUCUGGAGCCCAGAAUGAUGCCCAGAGAAAGGUCUCCAGUGAUGUAUUACAACACUUUUUAAACUUAAAUUGCAUAAUGAAUAUUCAUAAUACUUAUUAUAGCAUAAUUAGUGAAGUAACAAGGGUUUGAAGAUAGGAGUCUGGCAAGAUCUGUACAAGAGAAAAUGCCCCAUCCCUGGAGGUGUCCGAGGCCAGGCUGCAUGGGGCCCUGAGCAGCCUGGUCUGGUGCCUGAUUUAGUGGGUGGCAACACUGUCCAUGGCAGGGAGUUGAAACUAGAUGGUCUUUGAGGUCCCUUCCAACCCAAGCCAUUCUAUGAUUCUAUGAAGAGAAAGAAAUUUAAUUUGUUUGCCUGACUGAGGUAUGAGGGAAAGCAGACAAGCUUUAGGCAUGAGGCCUUUAGGUAAAUAGUGAUAGAGAGAUUACAACCUCCGAAUUAUGCUUAUGGAUCAUAUAAACUCUACAUGGCUGGAAUCAGAGGACACAUUUCAUAUCAAGGGAAAUUUUUAAUAGAAACAACAAGUUGGUUUUGGUUCACCUUUAUGGUUUUAAAACUGUGAGAUGAAAUAUUUUUCCUACAUCUGCAAAAUAUUUUGAAUUUUGAAAAUGUUUCUAUCUGAAGUGCAAUAAAAAGCAGGAGCUGCAAUAAGUUGAUGAGUCAAUAAUGAAUAAACACAGUGUUUUGAAUUGAAAAUUUUGGCACAUUUCAGUGCAGUUACUAUUACUGAUAUAUUUUUCCUGUGGAUACACUGACAUUUAAAAACCAAUCUGUAACGAAGGGAAAAGAAAAAAUAACAUACAUAGCAUGUUGAAACAAAAGGCUCAGAAUCAGAAUUAUUUUGCAGAAAAAUCAGGUUUGAAAAUGUAUCUUUUUCUGGACAAAAGAGUGAAAUAAAACAGUUCAUUAACAGUGCUCAUACUCACUUGCAGACCCAGCAUAUGUGUGUACCACUGACACAACACACAGUUGCCUCCUAAAUACUGAAUUAAUUGUUAGGAUGAUAGUUAAUAGUCAUCCCCAGAUUUUCAAUUACGGGACGAUCCUCCUGUCAGUGCUGCUACUGCAAAUCUUUUCUUCCCCCUUGCAGUGCCCUUCCCUGUGCAACUGGGCAUUUUCAUUCCUCUAUUCAUUCCAGUGAACUACAGAGACCCUGAGCAUCUUUCUCUCUAUUAUUAUGCAGAUCUGCUUUUCUAGAUUCUCGGUAUUUUAUUUAUUGCACAAGCGUAACCCACUGGUAAUCAAUGACUACAAUUACAAGACCUUGAACACGAUGAUAGAAGAAAUAAUAUUUUAUGUUUGGCUUGAAAAUAAACACCCCUCCAUUAGCACAUUUUGCUCACCAUGACUACUGGUGAUGAAGGAAGUCGUCCACCUUGACAUCCCUUGAACCAGGCUACAGUACCACAAGGACUAUAUACACAUUAAAAGACAACUAAUUGAUUAGGGAUCUUUUAAAAAAUUUGGGCCAGAUCCUGAAUCCCACAUGCAUCACACAUUCAAAAAAUGAUUUUCCAAAAGACUCUGAGAAUUUCUGCAAGAUGCGUAGCACAUGUCUGACCUUUUCCUGUCCCCAUGAGGUUCCAGGUCCCUCCUCACUCUCAGCCCCAUAGGCACUGGCCAUCCGAGUCCUGAUCCUGCCAGAGUAGGACUGCAGAUGUGAUGAACACUAGCUGCUGUCUUUGCCUGGUAGACACGUCCAUCCAACACUGAAUCUUUCACAAAUUUUGCCUUCAGUAAAGAAGAGAGGAAGAAAAAUAGAAUAAGAAAUCAUGAAAACCAUUUUUAGAGGGAUUUUAAAUUUGUGCUGCGCUUUCUGAUUCAGAAUUUGAGCUGCACUCUGUGUUUCAGAUACAGUUGGACAUGUUAUUAAGACAAGCAAAGAUACAGUUGAAAAAUGCUGCUAAUAAUCUGGAUAAUUACUUUCAAAAUGAUCUACAUAAUUCCUGAAAUAGCUAAAAUAGAUACAUUCAACAUCCAUAACAAAGAAUAGUAUUCAAAGCAUUUAUAAACUAAAUACUGUUGCCACCACAGUCUCUUCAGACCUACCACCAAUUUGAUAUAUAUUUUCAGACAAGCCCAGGAAAAAUAUGAUUUGAAGGAUCCAUUAAAAGGGAAACUGCUGUUCAACUUUGGUUGUUGAUAGAGCCAUAAAAUAUAUAUUUAUAUGCAGUUUUAUAUAUACAAAAUGAAACUCACAUCCCACAGUAUCUUACUGGAGCUCAGAUGCAGCACAUGACAUAUUAUAUCUGUGGAAAUGGGAUCUAUAACCUAAUGUAUUCUUGCAUCAAAGAAUAAUGUCUCAUAAAUAAAUCAUUACAGCCUGUCACAUCUAUGGUUUCACACCGUAGUGUAUAAAAUAAUGUAUUUUGAGAUACGGGAGAAGGUGAUUAUCUAAUGUUUCAACAAAAAAAGAUUGUCCUGUGCUAAUGCAUGUGCUGUCUUAGAGGUGUUAUUGCCUUACCGCUGUUCAUUGAAGACUAAUCCAUCAUAUCAAAGGAGCGACAGCAUUUCACUUUUAAAAAACUGACACAAUUUGCACGCGGCUUUUCUCUUUCAGUAAUUAAGAAAUCAAAUAAGCCUGAGUGAAACUAUUUAAGAGGUUCUAGAUAUAAUUAGAACACCUCAUUCUCUCAUAACUAAUUCCUAAUUAAAGUAAUUUGUCUUUUUGCCCUUCUUUUCAAGGGUGAAGAGCAAGUGGUGAUGAAUGCUCAAAAUCAGGAAAAGUGAAAAUUGCAGUGUGUUGAUUUGCAGUGAUUGAGCGCGUUCCAGUUUUUAACAACCACCUUCGGCUGCAAUGCUAAAUGAAUCUCCAGCCUCUAUUUACAUUGAGAAUGUGUGAUCCAGAGCCUGACAAUUGAUAGAAUCUGGCGACAAAAGGGCUGAAGUCUGAGUCUGAGUUCAAAAGUUGCCUAUAUUAAGCUUUGCACAGGGGGAAAAAAUACAGUGAGACGGCACAGGAGAGAGAAGAAGUCUGAAAUUUGCUCCACUGGGUGAAAAUUGUCCUUUUAAAAUUUUAUUUGCAGCUGUGCCCAGAUGAUGACGGAUUUAUCAUAUGAACCAGGGAUUAGUAAACAAUGUGUACCCUAUAAAGAGCAAAACAAGUCCUUGCUCAUCACUGCACUUAAUUGCAGUGGUUAUAUCAAAGCCAUAUAAAAUUUAAUCAUCAACCACAAGUAAGAUUUUGCCUUGCAUGUGUGCUUGCUUCCCUGUUUUUCCACCUGUUUAAAUGAAAGAUUCUUGGAAUAUCACAAUAUGUAAAUAUUGUUUAUGAUGCAAAAAUAUGCUCUUUCAUCUCCUGGCUGCUUUGAUGUCGUGAUAUACAAAGCUUUUAGUGCCACCACCUACCUGACACACAAAGGUCUUAUCUGAUUCAUAAACAUGUGUGCCCAGUGCAAACAGGCUGUAUCCAAUAGAUGAUUUUUCUUUUCCUUGCAAUGUUUUUUUAACAGACAGAAAGAGAAAGAAAGUGUAAAUGACAGAACUGCUCAGGUGAAAAGAUUAUUUUAAGCAUCAGGUAAAGAUAAGCCCAUUAUGACAGAAGAAAAAGAUGUAGGUCAGUAUCGAUCCUAAGAGGUUAGUUAUAUAUAUAGUCAUCUCGUAAAAUGUGUUUUAAAAGCUGAAACUUUUUUUAAAGACUUUUGAUCCAAGUGGGAAAUAAGCAGCAAGAUCAGGUGCCCUCCUAAGACAUACAAAUAUGCCUAAUUAGCAGGAGAAGAAAGAGAAAAGCAGGAAGUGAGGUCAACACUGGAAACAGGGCAAACGGAGUCAGGGAGGGAAUAAGGUGUAGGUAAUAGUUAAAAUUUGCGGCUCAUUGGUAACAAUUUUAAACCUAAAGGAGCAGCUUAUUACAGGUUAAUCCAUGAUAUGUCUAAUUUACAGCUAUGUGUAUGUGAAUUUCUCAUAAAACAACGGGAUGGAGCUUCGGUCUGAUGGAGCCUGAAUUCUGCAAGGGGCAGCUGCUGUCUCCAGCUGAAAACACAAUACUGUUUGAGAGAAGUGUUACAACUGCUAGCAAAGGUCCUCUGGGCUUUUUAGGGCAAAUUAGGUCCCCAUACCCUCAGGGAUCCCACAGCUGUUCCCCCUGAGCACACAGAGCACCAAGAUGUGUGCUGAUGGCUGCAACAGCAGCAUAGCAGGGCUUGAUCUCAGCCACCUGAGAACAGAAUUUGGCCAUUUAAUAUCACACAAUAUCACAUAAACUGCAAGAACUUCAAGGUGUAAUGCUUCUUCUCUUUCUUCUUUCUCUCUUCUUUUUUUUUUUUCCCUUUCCAUUCCUUUUUUUUUUUUUUUUUUUCUCUGUAUCCAGGAGCACCCUGGGAAAUCCUUUCGUGUUCUUUAUUUCCAUCUAAGCCCUGGCUUGCUUUGAACAGCAGAGGUAAUUGUGCGGGUGAACUUCAGAGAUUUGAAGGGAUCAAACUUGAAAGCCCCUGCCUGAAAGUGCAAGCUCCAACUGGAAUGUUGUCAGGUGCUGUGAGACGGGACGUGGCGGUGCUGCCGUCGGAGGAAUCCUUGCACAGGGACAGUCUGAACCUGCGCAGCGCUCCCUUUGCACAGCCCCUGCAGUUAGCAAGGCUCCCAUAACCCACAGCAGUGCUCAAAUGAGGCAGUACUGCCCUCUCUGAUCUAUAAAUGGGUGUGUGUGAUGAUGUGACUUGAUGAAGGUCAUCUAUGUCAGACAGUGGCAGAGGGUGAAGAAACCAUCCUGAUGUCUAUUUUCAGGUUUUCCCUGAGCACAUCAGAGCAGAGAAGCCAAAGGGAUGCAGGUCUACAUCGUUUAUGAGAGCUACAUGUUCCUCUGGCUAGAAAAUCCUGGGGGAUUCAAUAAUAAUAAUAAAAAAAGAAGAAUCAGGGAAGAACUGAGAAGAAUAUAAUAGAAGUUUGCAGAUGGGGAAUUUCAGAAACCAGCAAAAUUCACGGAAGGAGAUUGUUACAAAGCACAGCCUUUGCAAUGGAUUUAUACAUUCUUUUAAAUUUUACACGACAGCCAAAACACUCCAGAUACGCUUCCUCCCUCUGCCAGUUUUCCUCGAUCUUCUCUUUGAGCAUAGGUGAAGUUCCUCAUGUUCCAAGACAGGGCAGGGUAUGUUCUGCUGCCAUUUCCCACACCCUUCUCAUGCCGUAUCUGACUAUCAGCACUGCUGCAAUCCAGGAAAACAGGAAACAUCAGAGCCAGUUGGAUUUUUCAACUCCUGAAUGUGUUUUGUUCAGAGUUCCUUUGGAAAAUAAUCAGGAAAACAAAAUAUGUUUUUACAAUUGUUUUUCCCCACUGGGUUUCAGACAACAGCAGCUAUAACAUGAAGUGAAAAAUAUAUUUAUUUCUUCUUCAAUCAAAAAUAUUUGGCUUGACCAAGAAAAUCUAUCUCAGUAAUCACAUGCUGUGUCAAUGCCAUCCAUCUUCUUCUACAAUAGCUAUUGUCAUCGAUAGUGAAAGUUUGUUUCCUGUAGUAAGAAGCAUGGGAGAUGUCCUUUCUUGUUCCGUAUUUUGUUCUGCUUUGCCCUGUCAUAAGGCUAUUAACUACACAGUUACGUUUCAUUUUAAGAUUCUCAGUUAACACUCCCUGUCUUUACACUGCAAACUGUUUCAUCUUCUGAAUUGCGAUCUGCCAGUGGCUGAUGCUGGCAACACAGCACAACGUACAGACUUCUGAUCUCUUUUGGCCUGCAAGCUUUUCUUUCCUAACUGAUGGAUGAAAACCAAUUCCCUGUGCAAUUUGCUGAACUUUACUGUGGUUCUCAGUGCUAUUUCAAUUUAUGCCUAAUAGGUGGAGAAUCACAGAAUGUCCCCGAAGAUCACUGAGCCCAUCUCCUGGCUCCACUUGGGGCUCCCUAAGAAUUAAACCAAAGACAUGUGAAUGCAAACUGAUUCAGAUGAAAUCCAUGACAGUCCUUCCACUUCCGGCCCUCUCAUAUGGGCAGACCCUUGCUUCAUUCUCACUUACUAUUGAAUAAAUAGUAUACGACUUUUGUGGAAUCAGCUAAGGAUUAGUGUUCCACACUCACACUUGUUGCCAUCCAUCUCUUUUCCAAAUUAUCCAUUUCAGCCACUGUGUGUGUUGAAGAGGUGUAAAACAUUGGUCUGAUAUGUGUGUGCUAUUACAGGAAGAAAUACAAGAGCAAACUCUCCUCUAACCCAUUUGAAUGCUUGUGAGACUGUUGGAGUUGUUGAGGUUCAAGGAAUGCCAUCUCCCAGGCUCCUCAUUGUCAUCUUCUUGGUAUCUGAACAUCUGGGGACAGCUGAGUCUGUGCAAGUUCAGUAGGAAAAGGAAAAUUAGUCAAAAGUACAUUUCUGCUCUGUAAGUGGUGUAUUUAAUUUCCAGCUAUGGAACAAAACACAAUUACCCAUGGUCCAUUUUUUCUGGGGUCAAGGCUGGCUAGAUUGUUGUAAUAAUCGUAAUAACACUCCCUCACUUGCUAUUUACCUUGGGAGCUAUUUGCUGUCCUUUGUCUGCAUCUGACUGUUGUGUAGGGACUGUGCCACAUCUUUGUGGUACAGCGUGUGUUUGGUUGCAGGGAUCUUUUGUGUCAGAAAAGGUAAACUUUGCACUCACAUAAAUUCUGUACUAGCCAGGACACAGUGAGACCUAUUCAGACUACUCACUUUCGUGAUAUAUGUAGCCACAUAAUCAUGGAAUAAAGACUCUGCAAAGUAUAUAGUGUUUUAAAGAUAACUUGUACUACAGCAGCGCAUAGAGGAAGGGGUGCUUUGUAUGAAUUACACAGAAAAAGUAUACUUCGCCAUGACCUGGGGAUUAGUUGCAGAUUCAACUCCAGUUUGGUUUGGCCAGAUGUGCAAAAGCUAGGAGGAAGGUGUAGAAAGCACCAGUGUAACCAUGUGAAACCAGGCUUUGAAAAAUAAAGAACUGGCUCAAGAUCACAGGACAUGAUCUAUGGAAGAGAAAGAAGUUAUGCAUGUAUCUCCCGAAUUGCUCUGUAGUGUAGUAACUAGUAUUCCCUUUACUCCCUUGAUACUAUAUGGGAUGUAAAAUAAUGCUCAGUUGCUGACCUCACAUACAGCAAACUGACCCAUUGUUUUCUAGGGAAAUUCAGCCAUGCAGAAAGGAAAUGCUCAGACAUCUAAAUAGCAAAACCAAAGCACUUAUGACCUUUUCUCCUGCCAAGAUCAAAGCAGCAACUUAUUUUCUCCUUUUUUCAAAUUUUAGUGACAUUAGCUAAUGUCACUGCUAAUGUCAACGUGCCAAGGUAUCUUGGUGCCAACUGAACAGCCAGGACUGGUAUUGCAAAGAUACUAAUGAUGUGCUGCUGCUGUCUCAAAGGGAUCCAUGCUGCCAGGCGCUUGUGAAGGACAAGGAAUAAUUUGUACUUUGCAUUGAGCCUUUCACUUGCUUGCAAAAGGUUGCCUGAGUGGAAUGGAACACACAUCAUAAGCUCAACACUUCUUUCAAAUUCCAAACAUACUUUCCUAACUCCACUUAUUACUAAAAUCAUGAUUUUAUCAUUCAAGAGCCCUAGCAAAUCAGCAGAGAAGAAUGUAAGAAAAUUCUACUACUGAGAUCCUAGCCUUGUUGUUCACAGGAAGUUAAAGCGAAACUCUUACAAGCAGAGCAGAGAUGCUUAACAGUCCUUGUGUGCUCACAAAGAAAAUAGAUUUUGUUUAUCAUUUAGAUCAAAAGAACAGGCAGAUUUUUAUUGAUUUUUGAGAUACAGCACUGAUCUUUGCCUCUGCGUCUAAUGGCUGUGAGCACUGGGUGCUACAGUAAUAGUGAGGAAAUAUAGCAAUUUUACACUGUUAAAUCUUUAUCUUGACUGUCUCUAAUUUAUCCAUCUUUAAUAAACCCCACUGCUCUGCAGCUGGUAACUAAAUCAGAGGCACAAGCACAACAUGAAGAGGACAAACUGAAGCCUUCUCCACAAGAUAUGAGGAAAGGACAUGACCUGCAAAUACACUGCCGAAAAGGCUGUGUAUAUCUUAAAUCUCAAUAAAUUCCUUAUUGUGGUGAUUUGGGAUAGCGUGGUGGCACAGCACUGAGUUUCAGUAAAGAAGGAGCUAUUCAGAUUAGCUGCUCUCCAGGGCUGUGGGCCCAGCUCCCUCAGGAUCCAAUGAAAAAAAGGAACUUGUGCAUACAGUAUGAAUAGAGUUUCUGCAAGUGAAUCAAAAUCUAGUCAUAGUGAAUAGAAUCAUAGAAUCACUAAGGUUGGAAAAGACCACUAAAAUCUUCUAGUCCAACCAUCAACUCAUCCCCACCAUGCCCACUGAUCAUGUCCCUCAGUGUCACAUCUCCACAGUUCUGGAACACCUCCAGGGACAGUGACUGCACCACCUUCCUGAGCAGCCUGUGCCACUGCAGCACCACUCCUGAGAAGAAAAUUUUCCUAAUAUCCAAUCUGAACAUUUCCUGGCACUACUUACAGCCAUUACCUCUUGACCUAUUGCUGUUACCUGGGAGAAUAGACCAACCUCCACCUUUUGUCUUGGUGGCAGUAUUUGAAUAGCUGGUCUUGCCAUUUGCUUCUUGACUUCUUUGGUUGAAAUGCCAGAAGAGGCUUGUAAUCCCACUUUGUGCAGUCUAAAAUCUGACCAUAACUCUUUAUCUUCUGAAGCUACUGCAGCUACUGAAAAAGGGUAGUAACUUACCAUCUGACAAUGGGAAAGGAAAAAUGCUGUUCUAGACUCUCUGCUUUCAAAAUGUUCUUCCUUACCUGAAAAGUUUACCUAGUUUAUUCAAUAUUCAUGCUUUUCAGACAUGAUGCCCUUGCUUCCUAUGUUCAAAUUGUAAGGAAGUGUUAUUGCCCAAUGCCAGAAACAUGCAACUAUUCUUUAAUACACCAGAUGCACUGACAUAUUUGCACUCAUACUCAGACUCUUACAUAAAUUUCAUUUUCCACUGAAACAAAAGAUUGUACCUUUGCAGGUCAUGAGGUCACCAAAAAGCCAACCACUAUUUUGUUAAAUUAAAGAUCUGAAUUUGUUCUGCAACAGAAAGGUUUGAGGGAUUUCAUAGACAUGAAUCAACUUGGAUUUUUGAAAAUUGGGGUAUUUUUACUUCUCAUUUUACUGGCAUAACAGUGAAAGAUGUACUUCCAGAAGACAUAUUUGUAUAUCUAACUUCUCACUUUUCAUCACUGUCUAUAUGAUAACUGUGACUGCAGUUUUUUUGCACUGGUAAAAGAGAAUAUCAGUUGUGCAUCAGCUGUGCUCGUCAUAAGAGACUCUUAAGUCUUAGCCAAUGUGAAUACAGAGGAGUCUAUACUUUUGCACAGACAAAAGCUUCUGACCUUCUUUACUGGCAGAGUGAAAAUGAGUGUUAGCCUCCUUGCUCAGGCAGCAUUUCAUCCUAUGAGAUCAUUUUAGUUCCUUUUAAUAACUUGUAUUUGUUUUGUGAGGUAUUUAGGAAGCGUUGGCAGGUAGGGUGCAUGAGUGAAACUCUUUCUUAUGUUAGAGCUAUUUGGAAUAGAAGACAAUUGAGAUUAGCUGAUGACUGAGUAUUCUUAGGGAAUGAACUUCUCUCUUUGAAACUCUGAGCUCAUGUGUUACUACAUUUAACUCGCAGCUCUGUCAGCUUUACAACAGCACAGGGGCAUGCAGGGUGCACGAUGGCAGCAGCGAUGGGGGAUUCACUGGGUAACGCUGCAGGUGCACGUGUUGCUCAUGGCAGCAGCUCCAGCCAGAAAUGCUGCUUUUAUCGAGGUCAUAAAUCAUGUCAGCCCUCCUGAAUACAGUUUUUCAAAAGGGUGAAGCCAUGGCUUGUGUGCUGGAUAUUUAUCUUGCUCUUCCUAAUGCUUUCCCAAAAGCUCUCCUUGAAGGCGGUAAACAGUUCUUUUGGCCAUAAUUAGAACUAAUUGAUUGCUAGAGGGGUUUUAGACCUGUGUCAAACCAAAGGGACAGAGAUGGGAAGAGGAGGCUGAUUCCCAGGCUGUUUCCUUGGCCGUGUACGUGGGCACACAUCAUGGAAGGGAUGAGUUCUAUUGACCCAAGGCAGUGGUGCUCAGGUGUCUGGUGAGUGUGGUGGGAGCCUCUCUGUACUCUGCUGUGGCUGCAGAGACGAUGUGAGCUUUGAACACUCACUCCACGCUCUGCAAAGUGGCAAUGUGGCCCCUGCCAUCCCCGAGGCUGGGCUGAAAGCUCUGAAGUUUGCAGAGAAACAUGCUGCGUCAGGCACAACCAGGCUGGCCCCACAUAAAGUCAAUACUUGUGUGAAAACAAAUAAAAUCUUAGAGUACGAGGCAGAGGCUAAAGAAUGCCUUCACCUCUUUCCUUCAAGCAACUAUUUUGUUAACUUGAAAGACGGCAGGGGUGAUCUUACUCCAUUCUUUCUCUACAGGUCAAAUACUUGUCAUAGGAGACACCCUAGUUAAUAUUAAACUAAAAAUUAAUAGAUUAGAUAACUAUUAUAUGCUUUUAGUGCCAAUUAAUUUAAUAGCUGGUUUUUUUUGUUUUGUUUUGUUUUCUCUUUUUCUAGCAAGGUAGGUGAAUAUAGCAGCACAGUUUACUGUGUCUGUAUGAGCUCUCAGAUGGGUCUUUUGUGCUACAAUUACCACCAAUUGAUUGGACUGACACAUGUAAUCCCCUUUGGAUCACCCAACGAUAUGAUGUCAGUAAGAAGUCCUUCAAACAGACUAUUAAAAAGCACAUUAAACAUGUCCUUAUUGUAAGCUUUAUGCUAGCUUAUGCUAAAAUAACAGUGAUACAGUGGUAUUUGUUUGAAAAUGAAAGGAUUAUAUGGUCUUUGUAAAAUGAGGAAUUUAGUAUUGGGAGGGGCAGUGGGAUGGUGAUUUAUUUUUUGUUUAUGUUCUUCCGAAUCCUUUGAUAUGUCAACUUCUGUCACUAACCAUUAGGCCACUUGUAAUUUCUUGUAUCAACGAAGAUGAAAUACAUACUGCCUCCAAUAAUUUAUGUCAAAUAUUGAAGGGCAUGGAUGGUAGUGCUUAUUGUGAGAUUAUAAUGAGAAUUGAACUGGGGGCUUCAGAAAUCCAUAGGUAAUUUAUUGUUAAAGAGCACGCAUGAAUCACUCCGGCCUUUAAUUGUCAUGUGGAUGCAUUUUGCUUUCAGCUUGCGCUGGAAACAAAUUGCUGAAAUGGAAUGAUAACUCAGAAGAAAGAUUUCACCAUGACCCUUUGUACUUAUUAAUAUAGUGCCAAGAGUGUAAUGAGUGCCAUGCCUUCUCUUGGGUCAGAUUCUGGUGCGUAGUGAAAGGAAUGCCUUGAAAUUUGUAUUGCUUUUCAUGAAGAAGAAAAACAUAAACAGUAGCAUAUACACCUCGCAAGCAAGGGCUGAGAGUCAAAAAGAUUUGUGGUAUUUAUAAUACUGCACAAUAAAGGUGACCAGGGGAUUUUAUAGGAUGAUUUAACACUGAACUGUGCAAAGAAAUUAAGCCGUUCUGGAGAUUUCUUUGUAACGCACCAACAUCCUCAUCAUCCCUCUUUGCUCUGCUCUCUUUUUAUCUUACAACGUCAAGGUAACACUCCAAAGUGGUUAACCAACUGCUGUGCAUAUCUUACAUAGAUGUGCUGCUUUAGAUCAUGCUGCUGCUCCCAGAGAGAGAAAUUUCAUUGUUAACCCGAAUCUAGGUGUUUUUGUCAAAAAAAUCAAAGCUACCAGAAAAUGGAUAUAAAUUAUUCGCAGGGUCUGGUUUUCUGUCUGCUUUAAUAUCAUGUAAUCAAAGGACAGAUUACUCAAAAUUACUCCUCUUGAGUGCUUCAGUGUAGUCAUCACAGCACUUCUCUGCGACUACUUCACAGUUUCUCAUAAUGUAAGAAUUAGGGGCUACGCAGUGAAACUAGGAAACAGCAAGCUUAAAAUAUACAAAAAAAAAAAAAAAGAAAGAAAGAAAAAAAAGGGGAUUUGAAAGCAUUUGAAAGCAGGAUGUGUGAUCAAAAUGAGGUACAACUUGACACAGAAAUUUAUGGAAGCCAAAAGUAUAAAGUGUAGAAGAAUUUAACAAAGUCACGAAGGAUAGAUUCUCUGGUGACUUUUAAGCUAAAUGGUCUUGAUGUGGUCACUGUUUUUAGGAGUCCAUUACCCAGAAUGAAGAAUGAAUUACAUUUGGGAAGGAGAACUCUGAAUUUGAUCUAUCCAUUUGCUCUUCCCCUGCUGACCACUACCAGAGACAGGACUCUGGGGUAAACUGCCUUUAUGCUUUGUGGCUGCUCUUACAUCCAUAGAAAACUCUUGUAGCCAUUAUGAAUAAUGAAGUGUGUCUUUCACAGAAUCACAGAAUCGUACAGGUUGGAAGGGAGCUCUGGAGAUCAUCUAGUCCACCCUGACAACUCACCCACACCAUGCCCCCUAACCAUGCCCCUCAGUGCCACAUCUCCACAGUUCUUGAACACCUCCAGGGACAGUGACUCCACGACCUCCUUGGGCAGCCUGUGUAACUGCAGCACCGCUCUUUCUCAGAAGAAGUUUUUCCUAAUAUCCAACCUGAACCUCCACUGGCGCAACUUUACCUCUCAUGCUAUCACUAUGCUGUUACUCAGGAUAGUAAAGAGGCAGUACACGGAAGAUCUUUGAUGUUUCAUUCAAAUUAUUUAUGGAGGAGGAACUAUUUUCUAACAGAUUUUUUUUUUUUUACAUUAGUAUGCUGUAAAUUGCUUUGUCUAUGAAGAUAUCAGAGCACUUACCAAUCCAGAGUAGCUUUUCAUAGAAUACGUUCGCUACAAAUAGCUAUAGCACAGCCUAAACUGGACUGUUAGUUAAUCCCAGAUAAAACCCAUCUCAGGUUCUCCUACAAAUAGCACAUGUUCAAGACCAAGCCCUGACACAUCAGUGAGUAAACCUCAAUAAGCUGCUUCAGGAUAGUGGCACUACAACAGCUUCAUAACACUUGCAAGUGCCAGUAAAGGAUGCCGAAGUGUUGGUUUGCCAGGACUGGAACAGAGCAGCGACCACAGGUGCUUAUUUUCCCUUUUUGUAGUUCAUCGGUGUCAUGCAACUGUUGGCUCAGUCAGCAGAUGUGUCAGCUCUUGGAAUAACAGCUACUUAUGUAGGUUAGGUACAGUGCCAAAAGGUAAGUGUUAUAAAGAGUAAAACUGUAAAGAAUUAUGAACAUAAAGCCUGUGAUAGUAAAGGUGACUCCUUAGCAUUAUGCGCCACAGCAACAUAUUUUACCAAGGGCAGGAAAAGUCAGCUUUAUUUUCACCCCGUCACAAGCCGUAAGUGCUGAGCUAUGUGCAAUUUCCUGUUGGAUUUAAAUAGACACAUUUCUGAGCCCUAAUUUUUACUCUUUUCAUCUCUAGUAAACAAAUUGCCAAUUAAUAAUUAUGAAUUGAUCUCACAUGGCACAAACCUGUGCAAAAUAAUGCAGUAUCCCACUACCAUGCUUUUGGUAGCACUGUGAGCACAUCUGUAUAGAAGUUAUAGUUCAGAAAGGAGGAAAGCCCAGCACAGGACCCAGAACAUGGUCAAGGACCAAGAGCACCUGACUCACAGGGAGAGGCUAAAGAAACGGUUUGUUUGGUCUGGCAAAGAGGAUAAGGGGUAAUGUAAUAGCACCUACUUGACAGGGAGUUACAAAAAAAUGACAUAGCCAAACCUUUCUCAAUGGUCCUAGACAAUGUAACAAGGGGCGAUGGCCACAGAGUGCAGCUUGGCAUGCUCAGGUUGGACAUUGGGAAAAAAUGCACUUGAAGAGUGUUGCAGCACUGGAACAGGUGCCCAAGAGGUUGUGGAAACUGUCCUUGGAGAACUUUAAGACUCAGUUAGAAGUUAAGCACAUCUGCAGCUGGCAAAUGUCCCAUGUCAUGUGGGAGUUGCAUGAGAGGCCUCCAGAUCUUCCUCCCAACCACCAUUUCUAUCUACUCUUUCAACUCUCUGCUUUAAUAAUUUAUACCUUAAAAGAGUGAUUUGCACCUCUGCUUUUUGCACAGUCUUAAGUUGGCCUCUCAACCCUGGAGAUUUAGGGUAAGAAGUCAGUACUAUUUCUUCCUUUCAUUGUGCCUUGGAUGAAUCAAUGAAGUGGUCAUACUCAGAGGAUGUCUGCCAGGAGUUAGCAGUGUUGUGAGAAUGUGCUUGUGCUUGUGUAUAAAUCCAGCUGUCAUGCCACUAUCACUAACAGAAUGCUUCUGAUGUGCUCAGGAGCAGAACUUUAGGUGUCUGCUGCUGUCAGUCACUGGCGUGGUUAGACAGCAGUACAGUGUUGAUGGAGUUCAGAUUUUGGAUUUGGACAACUGAUGAGCUUGCUCAGCUCUGUGCUUUAGCGAGUAAUUUGGUUUAAAUUCUUAGGAAUUAAUGUUUAUGAAACCAGAUGUAACUGAGUCCCAGUGCCUUUGCUAUAUAAAUG
ensembl:lncRNA